UAUUUUCUAUUGCAAAAAUCAAAAAGAAAACAAAAACCUUGUUUAUAGAGUUACAAAGAGGAAAAUACAGUGGCUAUCUAGCCAUUUAAAUGAUCCGGCAUAUGUGGCUGUAAAUUACAGUCUAAAGAAUAAAUAAUGAAAAACUUGGUUUGGCUUUAAAAAAGAACUAAUUAAAAAUAGCGUAUCAAACUGUUUAAGUAAGUAUUACUGGGCAUAAUGAGCUGCAGUUACUUACUCUAAAGAGUGAUUACCUUCAAGUAGCUUUGAAACAAACUGCAAAUGAAUGCAAUUAUAUAUCUAUCAAAGCUGCACAUCUGUAAUGUAAAUCCAGCCUUAUAGGGCAGGGAAAAGGAAAAAAAGAAGGUAUGUCAAAACCCCACCAAUUCUCCCAGGAGAGGAGAAGCUGAGACCAGAAACUGGGGCACAAGAGUGAUGCUAACAAUUCCUGAUGCACUGGAAUGGUUCUGGAACCCUUCCCAAUGCCAUGGAUCUCAGCACAAGGAAACAAGAGCUAAACCUAGAGAGCAGUGGGUGUGGGAGACUGUCAGGUAACACCUGCUGCCUUGGGGAAACUACAGAUCUCGUGGGAAUUCUCUUUGCUGAUUUUUACAGAGAUGUCACCUGCAGUGGGAGUUCAAAAAACAGCAGCUACCACCUCAAUACAGCUCAGCAGAAAAAACAAACCCAUGGUUCUCUGAGGCUUUUUCUGUUUCCUUUCCAGAGCUGGGCUUGUGGUCUGACAAAGCACCUGGUUCUGAACAGCUCAAGCUCUAAUGUACAUAUCAGCUUGACAACAACAAGUAACCCUGUAACCUAGCACACAUCUGAGUCACAGGAUUAGGAUCCCUAAAGAGAAAAGAACAAAAUCUCUGAUCCCAAGGGCUAGGUGAGGAUUAAUCUUACACCAGUAAGUCAAUCUCUUAGAGUCAUAAGUCACUGUCUUAAUUAAAUGUGUUCUUGUUUACUACUAUCUUGGUUUAACACCUGCAUAUAGGUUGGUUGGUUUAUAAUUCUGAGUUUCUCAGAUACAGAUUUUUAAAAUUUUUAUGAAUGCCAAUACACUCACUCCAGUAUUUGAUUAAUUAUGUUAGAAUUAUAUAACAAUUGAGAGAAAAAUAAGAUAAUACAAAGAUACAUGUAUUAAGGUGUAAUUUAUAUUUUAAGGAAACACUUUUACAGAACAAGGUCAAGACUAAACUCAGUUUUGCAUCGCAAAUCUCCUGUAAAGUCUCUCUUAAUUGCUUCCCUGAAAUAGAAGCAUCUUUAAUUCAAAUAAUUUAUUGUUUUCUCUCAUUUGCAUCUACCAUAAAGGUGAUUUAGCUUUAAUUCUAUGCCCCCACACUCCUUCCCUUCCCCUGUUCUUGGCUAUCUCUCCUCAACUAAUGACUAUUUUCUUUCCCCCUUGGACUCCAAAUUUUUUGGUAUACUGAUUAUUUGCAAACUAUUUUCAUUAUUUUUUUGUAAAUAUAUAUAUAUAUAAAACCUCUAUUCUAUGAGAUGUAUCUAUGUGUGUGUAUUAUCUACAGUAUUUUAAUUAUCUUGAUUCACUAACACAGUGUGAGAGUGCAAGUUAAAUUCUUGCACCGAGAACAAGAAAAUUUAAGCUUCACUCAAGGCUUAUAUCUUCAUCCUUUGGUCUUUUCCCUUUCUUCAUCUUGCCUUUCCAACUUCGCUGACCUCACUGUCCCAUUCUCAUUCCUCUCUGCUGCUCCUCUUGCAAAGGCUUUCAAAGUAAUGUGAAAAAACCUUCAGCAGUUCCAAUUACUAAACUAAGAGUGCCAUCAAGAUGUGCUUAUAUGACAGAUCAAAUCAACUGUUCAUGCACAGAAACUUCCUGAUUCCUUGUCCUCUCAAAAACUUUUAUAGAACAUAAAAUAAACAUGCUGUUCUUCCUUGGGCCAAUGUCAAACACAAAAUCCCACACAACCCAUGAGAAUUGUACUGUCAAAAUACUGGGGGGUUGGGGCUUUUUUGGGGGUAAAUCAGUAUUUAAAUAUUAUAAUAAAAUGGCAAUGUAUAAUUCAAAAGAAAAGAGACACUCAUGUUCCAUGACAGUGGGUUUAAACUGUGAAUUCCCAAGACACUGCUUAUGUAAUCAGUUGUAGCAAGCUACAGCAACUUUUUACAAUGUCAGUGCAGGCUUUGUUUUUCAAGAAAUUAGGUUUAUGUGAACAAGUCCUCAUGACUAACUUCUGACUCUCUUGCCAAGUACAGCUGAACAGGACAAGGGCAGGUUAAAUUCAAGCACUGCAAUUCUAAAAUUCGUGCAAAAAAAGAUGAUCAAUUACUAGGCUGACUGUGAGCUAACCCACACUGAUAGGCACAAAAGAAAUUAAACUUCCUGUUUAACUGCUCAAGCAGUUGUUCUGUAACGUGACACCACUUCUGAAGUAAGGACAGGUACUUACUGUACCACCCGAAACUCCCACCCUGGGAUUUCCUACUGAAGGCAGCACUACACACACAACAGACACCUCCAACGAUGAAAAGCUCCUUGUAAAGUACAAUACCUUAGCAAACCCAAACGAAUUCACAAUUUGCCCCCCAGCUCAAAGUACUGUUUCCCACAUAGUAAAAGUGAUUACACAGGAAACAGAAAUUCCAGAGGGCAACGCAGUCAGCUGUGACUUGUAUCCCCUGCAUCUCCUGUGCAGCUUUAAGCCUUGCAUCCUGCCUAAAAAUGCCUGGAGUUUAAGCCAUAAUGAGUAAAUACAAAGAUGUGGUGGCAGACAAGAGUUUCAGGCACCCGCCAAUAACAUCACAUGGAUUUUGCCAGUAACUUUCUGCGGGCUGGCUUCAGAUUGAAGCUGAAGUAGGUUCUGGCUGCCAGGAGAUCUGAAAACUUGCUGCGUAGUAUUUAAGUACUUAAAACUGCUUAAAUGAAUUUGUUCUACGGCACUGACAAAACAAUUCCUGUAGCCAUACCAAGUUCCUCUUUUGUAGGCUGAGAUGCCUAUAUCAAAGUUAGCAAAUAAAGGUUAAUAGAUCCAAAAAUUAACUUUCUGCUUCAUUACGAAUUUAAACACUGAAGUUUUGCUUUUGAUCUUCUUUACUGUGCAAGCCAGCUUGCAACCUACUUCUGAACUGUGUUAUUGAGAAUAAUUAUUAUUUUUUCCAACAUAAAUUACAUCUCAGAUAAUGAAAAAUGAAAUGUUCAGAACGUAACCAAUUAUGCUUUUAAUAAAAGAGAAAAAGCUGUUGUAUUUACUACUAUCAAAAAGAGAGAUAGUUUUCUAACAACUGCGUGCUGCGGCAUUACCAGUGAACUUAAAAACACGCAUUUACAUCCUUCCACUACUAAGCCAGAAUAGUGUGUGGAAAACAUCAGUUCCAGGAGCAGUCCCCUGUCUCAAACUGAUCCCAGGUUUUCAGAGAGAUUUCUAAAAGGCUGUAAGCAAACAAGAGGCACCUCAGAGGGAUUUACAAGCUCUCCCAUGUAUGUUUCGGGACACGCCACCUCCAAAGUGCUCCCCGAGAAGACUUUGCACCACUGUUCACCACCUCGAGAAAUACACUGAUAAUGAAAGCUCAGUUCUGCGUUUUGAGACAUUGGCUACUGCACAGCACGAAGUCAUGAGAAGGGCCAUGAAAUGCAGGGCUCGGCCUCCUGAGCACCGGCAGUGCUGGCACAGGAGCCGGCCCAGCCCCUUCCUCGGCCAACACCCGCGUAGCUCCCGGCUUUCACCGAGCCACACGAACUGCGGGCUCUGGCAGCUCCCAUCGCGGGCAGGUUUCGCACGGUGGCAGCCCCAGACCCCGCUGGUUACAGGUGGGCAGCUCCCGCCGCCCUCGCCCCGAGGGGCACGGCCACACGACGCGGGCACAGCAGCGUCCUGCCAGCCGGGCGCCGCUCACGCCCAGUGCCCAUUCACCGCUCUGCGCCCCAGCGAGCCCCGAGUUCCCAGCCCGCGGCUGCUCUCCCUGCCCGGGGGAGCCGCGCCCCAGGCUCCGGGCUCCGCCGGGGCGGGCGGCAGCGCCCCGGGAGCCGCAGGUGCCACCUGUUACACCCCGUCGCACUCACCAGGCACCACCUGCCCUCCCACACUGGCAGCACAGAGAGGCUGAACAGAGCAGCCACAGGCGAGCUCCCACCCGCGGCACCGGCCUCACGCAGACACUCCUGACCAAGGCGCUUCCUUAGGAACAGCAGUGUGGAAACGGGCACGCUGCAAGGGCACGUCUAGAGCAGGUGGUGGAAGGAGCUUUACUCCAGAGAUCAUUUCCACAGAACACUACAGAGCUUCUGAAUGGAAGGUUCUAAACGUUGUCUUAACAAAUAUUUACCCAAAGUGCACUUAACUCACAUUGAAAGCUUUCAAAUCCAUGACAGUGGUGAAUUUCCUUUAUUAGGGAGUUCAAAUACUCAACCCAUCUGUGCAUUACUUUCCAUUCUGCUCAAGGUACAUGUUCCCUUUUGUGUCUCAUUCCUGGGUAGGAUUUUUUUGCCUUUUUUCUUGGUUGGGUUUUUUUUGUAUAUGUGUUUGUUUGUUUGUUUUUAAGACAUAUCUAUCUGACUUAUUUUGCUUCACUGCAAACUUAAAGAACAAUUUAGUUGCACUCCUAGGAAUGCUUUUUAGUCUGAGAAGCAAAAAGCAUAAUGGACCAGAAAAGUCUGCAAUAAAUCUUCCUACUGGUUUCACAUGGAAGGCACUCAAUACUACAGUGAGGGAGGUGAUUAAAAAACAAAUAAAAAGGGGCGGGGGGAACACAAUGUGAAUUUAUGUGAAGGUAAGAAAGGUGUGUAUUAAAAUAACAUCUUCUACUGAACAAAUUUACUCAAUUUACUCAACAGAUUUAUUCAACAGAUUAGUAUUUUAAGUCAGAGCUGUUAAGAAAAAUAUGGCUUUGUUACCAUUGACUUUUCUCAGUACUGAAGAACCUUCACAGUUCAGUUGUGACAACUGGAAACUCUUGUCACUAUAGCCACUUUUUAAAAUAAAUGCAAAUAUUUGCAUUUAUUUAAAUGAUGUGAUGAUGUACCAGACAAAGUCACACCUUGUUCACAUCAGAUCCCAAGAUAUUUUUGAAGUAACUACAGGGAAAGCUCUUCACUGCCACAGCUUAGUUUUGUGGUAGCACUAAUAUUGAUUUAAAUUAACUAAACCGUCAUUUUUUAUCAUGGGGAGAAAUGUGCUGAGAUCUGAUGCAAAAUUUAAGCAGACAUGAAGCAUUUUUAGUAUGCAGUGUGGUCUAUUAUGAGCAUUUCCUUUAGUACUGCAGACAAAUUUGGUAAGUCUAUUUAACCUUAGGUUUCUAGAUUGCACUAACAUUAUCAUAUACACAGAAUAAACUGAUACUACAGAAUAUAUAUGCAUUUCAGUAAGAUUAAAAGAUAAGCAGGAAGACAAUUAAGUCUGGUCCUGAAUCAAUUAUCCACGUGGUAUUAAUUUUCGUUCCCACUAGAGGCCACUGCUACCCUGUACGGAGCCUCUCCUGGAACAGCAGAGGAGACACAGUCCCUUUGGCAUCUCUGCAUAUUUACCUGACAGGAGAAGCAGUGAGGCAAGUGCUCCCUCCUCCCCUGAUUAUUUGGCUGAAGAAGCAGCAAGAGAAGGUGUCAUGAGGGAAACAUCACACCUCCCAAAGAGCAGGUGGUAACAGAGAGAAGCAAGCAGACCUGGGACUCGAUCUCCAGAGGUCCAUCUCAACCCCAGCUAUUCUGUGGUUCUGCACAAGAAAACUGGGAAGAGGAAUCAUGAAUCUUGAGCUCUUGGGACAGGGGAACAGUUGUUAUCUCUGAGGCCAUCUCUGCUGGAUCCUGUUGUGAUAUGCCAUUCUCCAUAGCAUUCUCAGGGCACAGCUGGGCUUUGAACACUGUCCCACACCCUGCUGCAUACCAAAGGGUUUUUGCACUGCACCUCUCCUCCAGAACAUCAGAGAAUCUCAUUCCAUGAGCAAAGCCUACAGUCAAGCUUUGGCCACAUAUUUUUAAAGUAGUUCUAAAUACAAGUGUGAAUUUCCAUUUAACUUCA